rnacentral:rRNA from 1 species
GAACGAGGAUAUAUCCUUCGGGAUAUAAGCCGAGUGGCGCAAGGGUGAGUAAUGCAUAGAUUACCUGCCUCUAGGAUAAGGACAACUUUGUGAAAACGAAGCUAAUACUUAAUAAUACAAAAGAAAAUAAUUUUCUUUUGUCAAUGGGAGGGUAGCAAUACCUUUUGCCUAGAGAGGGGUUUAUGUCCUAUCAGCUUGUUGGUGGGGUAAUGGCCUACCAAGGCGAAGACGGGUAGCCGGUCUUAGAGGAUGGUCGGCCACACUGGGACUGAGACACUGCCCAGACUUCUACGGAAGGCUGCAGUCGAGAAUCUUUCGCAAUGCCCGAAAGGGUGACGAAGCGACGCCGCGUGAGUGAGGAAGGCCUUAGGGUUGUAAAGCUCUGUCAGGAGUUAAGAAAUAUAAGUGUGUUAAUACCACGUUUAUUUGACGAAGGCUCCAAAGGAAGCCACGGCUAACUCUGUGCCAGCAGCCGCGGUAAUACAGAGGUGGCAAGCGUUGUUCGGAAUUAUUGGGCGUAAAGAGCACGUAGGUGGGUUUGUAAGUCAGAUGUGAAAGCCUUCUGUUCAACGGAAGAAUUGCAUCUGAAACUGCAAGUCUUGAGUGUAGGAGGGGAGAAUGGAACUUCUGGUGGAGCGGUGAAAUGCGUAGAUAUCAGAAGGAACGCCGGCGGCGAAAGCGAUUCUCUGGCCUAUUACUGACGCUCAGUGUGCGAAAGCUAGGGGAGCAAACGGGAUUAGAUACCCCGGCAGUCCUAGCCGUAAACGAUGGGCACUAAGUAGAGGGAAUUACCGAUGUUCUCUCUGCCGUAGCUAACGCAUUAAGUGCCCCGCCUGGGGAGUACGGCCGCAAGGCUAAAACUCAAAAGAAUUGACGGGGGCUCGCACAAGCGGUGGAGCAUGUGGCUUAAUUCGAUGCAACGCGAAAAACCUUACCGGGGCUUGACAUGGUAGAAGUAGGAACCCGAAAGGGUAACGAACGGUAUCCAGUCCAUAGCUAUCACAGGUGUUGCAUGGCUGUCGUCAGCUCGUGUCGUGAGACGUUGGGUUAAGUCCCCUAACGAGCGAAACCCUUGUUUUUAGUUACCAGCGGGUUAUGCCGGGUACUCUAGAAAGACUGCCGUCGUCAAGACGGAGGAAGGUGGGGAUGACGUCAAGUCAUCAUGGCCCUUAUGCCCCGGGCUGCACACGUGCUACAAUGGUCGGUACAAACGGAAGCGAAGCCGAGAGGUGAAGCGAAUCCUAAAAAGCCGAUCUCAGUUCGGAUUGGAGGCUGAAAUUCGCCUCCAUGAAGUUGGAAUCGCUAGUAAUCGCGGAUCAGCAAUGCCGCGGUGAAUAUGUUCCCGAGCCUUGUACACACCGCCCGUCAAGCCACCCAAGCAGGAUGCACCCGAAAACAUUAUAUCUAACCAGGGCAACUUGGAGGAAAGUGUUGAAGGAGUGUUUUGUGAGGAGGACU